rnacentral:tmRNA from 1 species
GCCCUUCCAUUUAGGAAAGCCUGCACCUAUAUUCCCCGUGCCAGUUCGCUGGCUACGGCAAUAAAUUGUGAACGCAAUAAACCAUUCGGACCCGGGGGCGGUACCCGGCGCCUCCACCCAAGACCGUUGUACUCCAGCGGUCUUCGGGGGGGCGAAAUAGGAUCGACGAGGGUGUAAAGGUUUUACUUUUGCUCGGCAUGGUACCACCGAUAUCGGGCCAAAAUGAUAGUUGCAAAUGACAACUACGCUAUGGACAACGCUGUAGCUGCGUAAUGCAGUUCCGGUAGUCCGCUAAGUCCUGUUGGGUAGCACCUUCGGGCGGGGUUCGGAGGCACCUGGCAACAGAAGCCUCCACU